AGUCAUAUGCUUGUCUCAAAGAUUAAGCCAUGCAUGUGUCAGUACAGGCCGCUUUAAGGCGAAACCGCGAAUGGCUCAUUAAAUCAGCUAUGAUUUAUUGGAUCUGUAAACCCACUUACUUGGAUAACUGUGGUAAUUCUAGAGCUAAUACAUGCUACAAGUCUCUGACCGAGAGGGAAGAGCGCUUUUAUUAGUUCAAAACCGAUCGGGCUUCGGUCCGUCCCACUUUGUGUUGAAUCUGAAUAACUUUGAGCUGAGCGCACGGUCCUCGCACUGGCGCCGCAUCUUUCAAGUGUCUGCCUUAUCAGCUUUCGAUUGUAGGUUAUACGCCUACAAUGGCUAUAACGGGUAACGGGGAAUCGGGUUCGAUUCCGGAGAGGGAGCCUGAGAAACGGCUACCACAUCUAAGGAAGGCAGCAGGCGCGCAAAUUACCCACUCCCGGCACGGGGAGGUAGUGACGAAAAAUAACGAUGCGAGACUCAUCCGAGGCCUCGCAAUCGGAAUGAGUACACUUUAAAUCCUUUAACGAGGACCUAUUGGAGGGCAAGUCUGGUGCCAGCAGCCGCGGUAAUUCCAGCUCCAAUAGCGUAUAUUAAAGUUGUUGCRGUUAAAAAGCUCGUAGUUGGAAUUCAGUUCUGGACUGACGGAUGCACCGCCCGGUGCUUACUGUCACGCUCCGAACAGCCGCUGCCCUCACGGGUGGCCCCGCCGGCUCGCACGGGGUGCUCUUGAUCGAGUGUCUCGGGUGGCCGGCAAGUUUACUUUGAAAAAAUUAGAGUGCUCAGAGCAGGCUAGCCUAACGGCCUGAAUGGUGGUGCAUGGAAUAAUGGAAGAGGACCUCGGUUCUAUUUUGUCGGUUCUUAGGAACCCGAGGUAAUGACUAAUAGAAACAGGCGGGGGCAUUCGUACUGCGACGCUAGAGGUGAAAUUCUUGGACCGUCGCAAGACGAACUAUUGCGAAAGCAUUUGCCAAGGAUGUUUUCAUUAAUCAAGAACGAAAGUUAGAGGUUCGAAGGCGAUCAGAUACCGCCCUAGUUCUAACCCUAAACGAUGCUGACUAGCGAUCCGCCGGCGUUAUUCCCAUGACCCGGCGGGCAGCUUCCGGGAAACCAAAGUCUUUGAGUUCCGGGGGAAGUAUGGUUGCAAAGCUGAAACUUAAAGGAAUUGACGGAAGGGCACCACCAGGAGUGGAGCCUGCGGCUUAAUUUGACUCAACACGGGGAACCUCACCAGGCCCGGACACCGGAAGGAUUGACAGAUUGAGAGCUCUUUCUCGAUUCGGUGGGUGGUGGUGCAUGGCCGUUCUUAGUUG
rnacentral:rRNA from 1 species